rnacentral:rRNA from 1 species
AUACGGAGGAUCCGAGCGUUAUCCGGAUUUAUUGGGUUUAAGGGGUGCGCAGGCGGCCAUUUAAGUCAGCGGUUAAAUCUUGGGGCUCAACCCCAUUCUGCCGUUGAUACUGGGUGGCUUGAUUGCGGUCGAGGUUGGCGGAAUUCGUUGUGUAGCGGUGAAAUGCAUAGAUAUGACGAAGAACACCGAUUGCGUAGGCAGCUGACCAGACCGCAAAUGACGCUCAUGCACGAAAGUGCGGGGAACGAACAGGAUUAGAUACCCUGGCAGUCCGCACAGUAAACGAUGAAUACUUGUUUUCGGCGAUAUAAUGUCGGAGGCAAAGCGAAAGCGAUAAGUAUUCCACCUGGGGAGUACGCCGGCAACGGUGAAACUCAAAUGAAUUGACGGGG